rfam:Myotis lucifugus cont2.8497, whole genome shotgun sequence.
CUUGGAGGGGGGGUCCCCUCAGCCCAGAUUGCAAGAGGGUUCAGGCCAGGCCGAGGGACCCCAUUGGUGCACA